rnacentral:lncRNA from 1 species
GAAUCCAUCUACAUUCUCUUUGAGAACACUUACACGAAGGAACCGUAAUAUGAAAUAAAUUUUAUCUAAUUUCUUUCCCUCUUCGUUUGGAGACAGCCUGAUUACUAGAAAUUAUGCAGGUUCAAAAACGUGGCUCUGUGGGUAGAACUAUUGAUGUCACUCGUUACAAGGGGUACGAUGAACUUAGGCAUGAUCUAGCCCGUAUGUUUGGUAUCAAUGGACUACUUGAAGAUCCACAACGAUCUGAAUGGAAACUUGUCUACGUAGACCAUGAAAAUGACAUGUUACUUGUUGGCGAUGACGCUUGGGAGUAAGUGUUUAGCAACUGUCCUUGUUAUCUUAGUUUUUCGUUGAAAGAACACAAAAAUAACUUUGAAAAUUUUUCUCAGUGAGUUUGUGAGCUGCGUUCAGAGUAUAAAGAUACUGUCCUCUGCUGAGGUACAACAAAUGAGUUUAGAUGGAGAUUUAGCUCAGCCUCCUGCCCCAAACCAAGCACUCAGUGGAACAGACAGUGGUAAUGCUUGGAGAGGACAGUAUGAUGAUAAUUCUGCCAACUCUUUUAAUCGGUGAAAGCAUUGCAGAGAUUAACUUUUAUCAGCAGGAAAUGUUAGAAGGUAGAUGUAAAUUUCUUGUACCAUCGAAUGUUAAAAAGCUUGUCUGAAAUUUUUUGAAGUGCUUGUGCAUUCUUGUAGAAGAAUCAAGAAAACUAUAUAUACUUGACGAAACAAACAAUUUUUUAUUCAACUUUAAAAAAGGGAAAAUUCAGUCCAGUGCCAUCAUUUUCAUUCCUAAAUGGAUGCAACUCCAUAUUCUUUGCACUAAAUUACGCUAAACUGACAGUUCAAGAAAAUAUUCAUUUAGGACUGGAAUUCUUUUGUGAGAUAUCAGAAACUGGAAAAUAAGGACACAGACAAGCAGCUCUUUAAACGACUACAAAGAACAACAAAUGGUUCUCGAACUGAAAAAUCAUUACACUUUGAUUUCUUUCAUUACGCUGCAAAAAGUCGUCAUAUUGAUCCGGAUUACAACAAAUUUCUCAAGUUUCGCUUUUGCUGAACCAACUAAGAAAGGACAGCCAUGACCUCUGAAGCCCUUAGUGCUAUGUAGUUAGAACCGUCACUGCCCUUGAAAUCGUUUCCUGCAUAUUUGGAGUACAAAACUGUGUUCCCGGGGAUAACUGACAAUGGCUUCCUGUUACCUUCCUCAUCAAGGGGGCCAGGCCCGACUGCAAUCACCUGUAAUUGAAGAUGGAAA